rnacentral:lncRNA from 11 species
GGGUUUAAUUUAGAUUUUGCUUCUCCUUUUUAACUGCAAGUCACAGCUGACACGGUAUUGUCUGGUUUUUCCACGGACCACGUUUGCAGAUCUCCCAAAUAUACGCUUGAGACCCACUUCACACAUCAAAGGAAGUGGUGAAACGUGUUAAAAUGCAGAGGAACUUAUGCAUGACGCUUCCAUGAAAUGUACAAAGCUGAAAUGAAUUUGGAAGUGAAGAGUCUUAUCAGAGGUGUGUGUGCUGUGGGAAGGUCACAAAAGAGUGUUUCUGUGGUUGAAUGUUGGAAGACAGUGUUUGAUAAAGACAUAACCUUAACUGAGGACCAUCUCUGAUUUAUUAUGGUGAUGAAACUGGCAUCACAUAAAAGUCUACUGCAUUGGUAACUUUUGAACAUCAUCAUGCCAUACAAGAUUUGUGAAAUAACUGCUGGUGUGCUGAGAAGCAUGACAAAUCCCCUGAUACCCUUCCAGCCAACUGUUAUGAUGGAAACUCUACCACCCUUAGCAACCACAAGUCAGUUCCUCAAACUCAUUAUAUCUGAAAACACCUGAAAUUUGGUAGCUUUUAAAAAGCUCUUUCUGGGCGACAAAAUCAAGCAAACCAAGAAGGAAUACAUGCGCACAUACAAUACUGCACUACCAUUAAUGCCUUUCAAGUGUCACUACUGCAUAGAGACCAUUGGCUGCAGGAGAAAAGCUGAAUUCAACAAUUAAAUCGAGAUAAAAGCAAUCAAAUAUGCUUGUACAUCAGAAAGUGGGAUGUAUAAACCAAUAUGAAAAAACAUUAAAUCAGAAA